rnacentral:rRNA from 1 species
AUGUCCUACGGGAGGCAGCAGUGAGGAAUAUUGGUCAAUGGGCGGGAGCCUGAACCAGCCAAGUCGCGUGAGGGAAGACGGUCCUAUGGAUUGUAAACCUCUUUAGGCGGGGAGCAAUGCCGGGCACGCGUGCCCGGAGGGAGAGUACCCGCAGGAUAAGCAUCGGCUAACUCCGUGCCAGCAGCCGCGGGAAUACGGAGGAUGCGAGCGUUGUCCGGAUUUUUUGGGUUUAAAGGGGGCGUAGGCGGAUUUUUAAGUCAGCGGUAAAAUGUCCGGGCACAACCCGGGCCGGCCGUUGACACUGG